rnacentral:rRNA from 1 species
UACGUAGGGGGCUAGCGUUGUCCGGAAUCAUUGGGCGUAAAGCGCGUGUAGGCGGUCCGGUAAGUCCGCUGUGAAAGUCGGGGGCUCAACCCUCGGAUGCCGGUGGAUACUGUCGGGCUUGAGUACGGAAGAGGCGAGUGGAAUUCCUGGUGUAGCGGUGAAAUGCGUAGAUAUCUGGAGGAACACCGGUGGCGAAGGCGGCGUCCUGGACCAACACUGACACUGAGGAGCGAAGGCCAGGGGAGCAAACGGG